UAAGGGUACCCCCUCUGCGUCUAGGGCUUGUCCUAAGAAAAAGAAUUCCUUGAAGAUGCCAAAACGUGGGAAGAAGUGGCCAUUGAGCUAUGUGGAUUUGUUGAAUGCACAUGAUUCACCCAUGGAUCAAGAGAGGGCGGAGGUAUAUACCUAUUUCAUCAAUGGCGAACCCUCCUUUGUGCACUGGAGAAGCAUCUUAGGAUCCGGUACACUUUUGUUUGAUAUGUAAAAUUGAUUGUUUUUAACCUACAAUACUUAUCAUUAUAUUAAUUGUAUUUAAUCUUUGAACAUUUUUUGUAUAAGUAAUAGCGAUAGUUUCUCCAUCGAUGGUGAGCCAUCCUCAGUCCAUUGGAGAAGCAUCUCAGCCACAUACCCCUUCGCGGUACGACCAUAACAUGGAUCUAUUUAAGUAUGUCUUCAAGAAAACUCCUAAGAGUGACAAGGAGAGGAGAGCAAAGACAUUAGCUCCUAGAUCAACCAAUCAGUUUUGCAGCCAUCUAUAGAGCCGCGUACUACAUCGAAGAGGCUUGAUUUUGAUGAUCCACCACAAGUUUAUGAUCAUAUAGUGUUAGUUUUGGUCAUAGAAUGACCAAUACAUGUAGAUAUAUUCUACAUUUUUAUUAUAUAUCGAUUUGGACAUGGCAUAUGCCACAUUUUGUAAUACUUGUAUUGA